ACUGGGCGUGGUGGCUCACGCCUGUAAUCUCAGCAUUUUGGGAGGUCGAGGUGGGUGGAUCGCCUGAGGUCAGGAGUUCAAGAUCAGUCUGGCCAACAUGGUGCCUGGCCAACAUGGUGAAACCCCAUCUCUA
ensembl:misc_RNA Metazoa_SRP Metazoan signal recognition particle RNA